rnacentral:rRNA from 1 species
UACGUAGGGGGCUAGCGUUGUCCGGAAUCAUUGGGCGUAAAGAGCGCGUAGGCGGCUAGAUAAGUCCGGUGUGAAAGUCACAGGCUCAACCUGUGAAUGCCGCUGGAAACUGUCUGGCUAGAGUCCGGAAGGGGCGAGUGGAAUUCCUGGUGUAGCGGUGAAAUGCGCAGAUAUCAGGAGGAACACCAAUGGCGAAGGCGGCAUCCUGGACCGGCAUUGACGCUGAUGAGCGAAAGCCAGGGGAGCAAACGGG